GACGAAGGGGGCUAGCGUUGUUCGGAAUUACUGGGCGUAAAGCGAGUGUAGGUGGUUGUCGUAGUCAGGUGUGAAAGCCUUGAGCUCAACUCCAGAACUGCCUUUGAUACUGAAGAUCUUGAGUUCGGGAGAGGUGAGUGGAACUGCGAGUGUAGAGGUGAAAUUCGUAGAUAUUCGCAAGAACACCAGUGGCGAAGGCGGCUCACUGGCCCGAUACUGACGCUGAGGCACGAAAGCGUGGGGAGCAAACAGG
rnacentral:rRNA from 1 species